GAUGAAGAACGUAGCGAAAUGCGAUACGUAAUGUGAAUUGCAGAAUUCAGUGAAUCAUCGAAUCUUUGAACGCACAUUGCGCCCGCUAGUAUUCUGGCGGGCAUGCCUGUCCGAGCGUCAUUUUAACCCAUCAAGCUUAGCGCUUGUGUUGGAGCCCUGCGGCCGCCGCAGCCUCCUAAAAUCAGUGGCGGGCUCGCUAUCACGCUGAGUGCAGUAGUAUUCUUCUCACUCCUGUGGUGUAGCGGGUAACCAGCCGUAAACCCCCCCAUCUAUAAAGGUUGACCUCGGAUCAGGUAGGAAUACCCGCUGAACUUAAGCAUAUCAAUAAGCGGAGGA
rnacentral:misc_RNA from 1 species